ACCACCAGUCCGACCGAAGUCAGCAUCACAACCAGCAGCAGGAUGACGGACACCAGGCUGAUGGCCAGUAGUAGGUCAGAGGUCACGCCUUCUGAGGUCAACUAGAGGUUCUCUGGGAAAGUGCUUACCUGUCACUGCGGCACACUUUGCUGUCACAGAGAGUGUGAAACAGGCAAGCCGCCGCAACAGCAGGACCCGCCAUCAGUCUCCCACUGCCACACGCGCCACCGAGAUGUCUAACUAACCAGUCUCUGAGGCCUCUCUUGCAUAAAAGGGAUGGCACAACUGAUCAACAAGAAACCAAUGCAUCCGCAGGGCACGGAGACAAUUGGCACCAUCUGACGUCUUCACAGUGCCGCCCUGCUGUGCUGGGUGGGCAAGCGCAAGUGAAAUCGUCCCACGCGGUGUAACACAUUCCCCCGUUGAGACAAGGGUUCCUCUGAAGAAGAGACAAGGACAAAGGUCUUGGAUGCAUCCUUUAAAAUGUCCCCCCCCCCAAACGGCAGCAGCACGGCUGUCCAGCAGACCUCCGACAUAGACGCUAUCUCCUGCUCGAAUGGCGCUCUCGAUGUCACCGAGCUGAGCCGUGACCACGCCGUCCUCCAGCCACACGUGCAGGUAGCGCGUGCUGCCGUUGCCCGCCGCCAGCAGGAGGCCGCCGGGCUUGCGCGUGCGGAGGAAGAGAGAGAUCGAGAGGCCUUCACCCAGGUCAUCCGUGACGUUGAAGACGGCGUAGCUCAGCGAGUCCUCGCUCCCAAAGCGAGCGCUCGCAUGUUCUGAAGGGAGCCCCGUUUUGGCACGGCUUGUCUUGGCAUUCAUCAAUGUCGAUUUCACAACGGCGGCCUUGGAAACCGGGCGGGCAGGUGCAAAGCGAGCCACCCGUGUUGUCGUGGCAACUGCCGCCAUUGAGAC